rfam:Schistosoma margrebowiei strain Zambia genome assembly, scaffold: SMRZ_scaffold0002060
GCACUGCUGAGGAAUCCCACAACAGGAUGAAACGGCCGUCCAAUGC